rnacentral:rRNA from 1 species
UACGUAGGGUCCGAGCGUUGUCCGGAAUUAUUGGGCGUAAAGGGCUCGUAGGCGGUUUGUCACGUCGGGGAGUGAAAACUCAGGGCUCAACCCUGAGCGUGCUUCCGAUACGGGGCAGACUAGAGGUAUGCAGGGGAGAACGGAAUUCCUGGUGUAGCGGUGGAAUGCGCAGAUAUCAGGAAGAACACCAAUGGCGAAGGCAGCUCUCUGGGACGGUACUGACGCUGAGACGCGAAAAGCGUGGGGGAGCGAACAGG